rnacentral:rRNA from 1 species
UUGGAGGGCAAGUCUGGUGCCAGCAGCCGCGGUAAUUCCAGCUCCAAUAGCGUAUAUUAAAGUUGUUGCAGUUAAAAAGCUCGUAGUUGAAUUUCGAGACCGGUUUACUGGUCGUGCUUUUGUACGUACUGGUAUUAUUGGUUUCUCCUUUCUGACGAAUCUUAAUGCCAUUAAUUUGGUGUUUUGGGGAAUCAGGACUGUUACUUUGAAAAAAUUAGAGUGUUUAAAGCAGGCUCACGCUUGAAUACAUUAGCAUGGAAUAACGAAAUAGGACGUUUGAUUUUAUUUUGUUGGUUUCUAGGAUCGACGUAAUGAUUAAUAGGGAUAGUCGGGGGCAUUAGUAUUCAAUUGUCAGAGGUGAAAUUCUUGGAUUUAUUGAAGACUAACUACUGCGAAAGCAUUUGCCAAGGAUGUUUUCAUUAAUCAAGAACGAAAGUUAGGGGAUCGAAGACGAUCAGAUACCGUCGUAGUCUUAACCAUAAACUAUGCCGACUAGGGAUCGGAUGAUGUUAAUUUUUUAAUGACUCAUUCGGCGCCUUACGGGAAAC